CCUUCGAUAGCUCAGUUGGUAGAGCGAUGGACUGUAGAGUUUUCUCGAAGCUUGGUGUUGCGAGCAGUGGCAGGACUCUAGACCAAACAAUACCGCGGCCUAGACAGCGCUUGCUCUUGUACCAUCAGUUUAUUGAAUCGCGAUAUGUUGAAAUCCAUAGGUCGCUGGUUCAAAUCCGGCUCGAAGGA
rnacentral:tRNA from 1 species